rnacentral:rRNA from 1 species
AUUGAACGCUGGCGGCAUGCUUUACACAUGCAAGUCGAACGGUAACAGGCCGCAAGGUGCUGACGAGUGGCGAACGGGUGAGUAAUGCAUCGGAACGUGCCUAGUCGUGGGGGAUAACGCAGCGAAAGCUGCGCUAAUACCGCAUACGAUCUGUGGAUGAAAGCGGGGGACCGUAAGGCCUCGCGCGAUUGGAGCGGCCGAUGUCAGAUUAGGUAGUUGGUGGGGUAAAGGCUCACCAAGCCAACGAUCUGUAGCUGGUCUGAGAGGACGACCAGCCACACGGGGACUGAGACACGGCCCAGACGCCUACGGGAGGCAGCAGUGGGGAAUUUUGGACAAUGGGCGCAAGCCUGAUCCAGCAAUGCCGCGUGCAGGAAGAAGGCCUUCGGGUUGUAAACUGCUUUUGUACGGAACGAAACGGUCCUGGUUAAUACCUGGGGCUAAUGACGGUACCGUAAGAAUAAGCACCGGCUAACUACGUGCCAGCCGCCGCAGUAAAAC